GGGAAACAUUAUCAUUAAUAAAAUUCAGGUGAGUUGUAGCUAGCCGUGGAACACAUAAAUGACAAUUCCUAAAAGGGAUCUUUAAUGUCUUUAUGUAGCUGAUAAUUCAAGAAGAGAAAAGACCCAACUUUCUAGAAAGAAAGCAAUAUAUGUUUUACUAUUUAUUUUAAAUGCACAUAAGGGAAUUAAAAGAAUUGGACUUUAAAGCUAAAUGUGAGUAUAGUUUCUCCUUUCAAAGAAAUAAUAGGACCAAUUACUCUUAUAAAUAAAUAUUAUAGCUCUUAAAAAUGUUACACACUGUGUAUGCUAUGAAAGGUCACCUUUAUCCAGGGCCUAUUAACAUAUACUUAAGUAAUAUUUAUGCCAGUUAAAGUGAUCAAGGUGAAAAUGACAUCUAAAUUCACCAGACUACUUUGACAGAAAUUCUCCCACCUAAAUAUUUUUUUUGAUUGCUUAUUCACCUAAGAUUGUUUUGGUGUACUAACCCUGGAUUGUUUCUCUCUUUUAGUUACACUGCAUUCUCUAAUGCUGUGGCAAUCAGAAUAAUUAUAAUUCAUAACUUCUGAUAGGCAGAGUCAAUUUCUUAUUUGGGACCUGGCUGACAAUGGCUGCUGCAGGCAUUUUAUCAUGAAAGCUGUCUUUCCACCUCUUUAUACUAAGAAGUAACUCAGGGAUUCCUGUUCAACUAUAACAGUGGGUUUGAGCCAGCAGCCAGCAGUUGAAAUUGACAUGUGAGAGUUCUUCUAAGUCCCAGAUGCUAGCUGCCAACUGCCUUUUUGUUCUUGUUUCCUUGGAAACGGAGGUUGGUUUUAUGAAAACAAGCUUAGAACAAAACAGAAGAGAAUCGGUAUGCAAAUCAGUAAUCCAGGAAAAAUAGAAGAAUAGAGUUGAAAAACUUUACCAGGUAAGCAUGCUCAUUUUGGUUUUCUGUUUUUGUUUUGUUUUGUAAAACACUAUGACUUCUAGAUAAUCACCAUCAGUUUGAGGAAGGAGAGAUUUUUGUAAGAUAUGUCUAAAAGAGUUUCAGAUAUUAGAUGGACUUAAAGUGAUACCAAAAAGCCUUAACAAAACUAUUCUUUACUGAGGACAUUCAAUAACUAGGUUACCUAUAACAGGAU
rnacentral:lncRNA from 1 species